AACUGCCUGGAUGCCUACGUUGACCUGCGCGACUGUGUCACCUACCAGACUGAGUACCGCUGGGAGGUGUACCGCACCGCCAGCUGCCAGCGGCCGGGGCGCCCGGCGCGUGUGGCCCUGCCCGGCGUGGACGUGAGCCGGCCUCAGCUGGUGCUGCCGUGGCUGGCGCUGCCUGUGGGGCACUACUGCUUUGUGUUUGUCGUGUCAUUUGGGGACACGCCACUGGCACGGAGCAUCCAGGCCAAUGUGACGGUGGCCCCCGAGCGCCUGGUGCCCAUCACUGAGGGUGGCUCCUACCGCGUGUGGUCAGACACACAGGACCUGGUGCUGGAUGGGAGCGAGUCCUACGACCCCAACCUGGAGGACGGCGACCAGACGCCGCUCAGUUUCCAGUGGGCCUGUGUGGCUUCGACACAGAGGGAGGCUGGCGGGUGUGCGCUGAACUUUGGGCCCCGCGGGAGCAGCACGGUCACCAUUCCACGGGAACGGCUGGCAGCUGGCGUGGAGUACACCUUCAGCCUCACCGUGUGGAAGGCCGGCCGCAAGGAGGAGGCCACCAACCAGACGGUGCUGAUCCGGAGUGGCCGGGUGCCCAUUGUGUCCUUG
rnacentral:lncRNA from 1 species